GUAUCGGUGAUUCUUCGAGUCAAACCACGCAGCGCACAAGAGCCACAACGAGGGAGAAAGCAACAACAACGAAAGAAAAGUGUCGGCUAGCGAGGGUGCCUUUGUUUUGCUCGCACACCCGCAUCUCCCGCGUUCCACAAGCGUGGGGUCCCCUCACAUCUCUUCCUCGCCACACACACACACACGCACACACGCACACAGUUGUGGGGUAUUGGAGGGAGUGGAGUGGGGUUCGUGUGAGGGCGCGCAUAUAUAUUUUUUUCCUCUUUAGUGCUGCUGCUGCUGCUGUUGCGACCGCGCGCGCUCUCUCUAUACAUGUAUGGGUGCUGUGGAGCUCUCUCGCUGGUGAUUUUGUGGCUCGCGUGAAUCACCUAUUUCCACGAAUAGGAGUGGCGGGAGGGAGCGGUGCUGAGCACGAAGCUGCUGCUCUCCUUGUCCAUCGCUGCUUCCGAACGCAUCGACGUAAAAGCGCUUUAUGCGCUUUGGCGGCCGGGCACUCCACGGCCAUUGCAAGAUUGAUGCCGCACAUCGCCACCGCGGAUCAGCUUCCCGUACGACUGUGGCACUUCCACUCGUCCUUCCGUUGCUUUAGCGCGUCAUUUCUUCUCUCUCUCUCUCUCAGUGUCACCAUGGCGAAAGGCAGAGGAGCUGCUUCCAAGGCAGAGGCGAAUCCUCUGCAGCCCCGCACGAAAACCUACGAGUGGGGCGGCCCGGUCGGAGCCCUCUUCAUGGUUGCCUUUCUCCCUACACUGGUUGUAGCGCUGAAUAGCCUGUGCGCUGCGGAGCAGUGCAGCCUCAUGCUGGCAAUGCGGAUGCCUGCACUAAUGAAGGAGGUGGUGCAGGGCGCGUGGCCGAUGCUGCGGACGGCGAUCGGCAUCGAGCUUGCGUGGAUCGCCGCUCACGCCGUAUUUUCCAUCCUCCCUAUUGGCAAGCUCGUCUACGGCGCCGAGCUCCGCAGCGGCGAGCGGCUUGCCUACCGCAUGAACGCCAUCCACGCCUUCGUCGUGGCUCACUUAGUGCUCUUUGGCCUGCACUUCACCUCCAUCCUCAACAUGGCUGUUGUGGCCGACCUCUACCACCCCCUCAUGAUCGGCGCCAUUCUCAUCUCGUUCGCCAUGUCGGUCGUGCUAUAUGCGGCGUCGUACCGCAGCCGCAACGUACUCACGGCUCUCGGUGGCAACAGUGGGAGCGUCCUGUACGACUUUUGGGUCGGCCGCGAGCUGAACCCGCGCACCGGUCCGCUGGACUGGAAGCUGAUGUGCGAACUGCGGCCUGGUCUCAUUGGCUGGAGUAUUCUCAACUGGGCAUUCGUGUGCAAGUCGGUCGAGCUGGGUACCGUGACGCCGAGCAUCGUGCUCACCGCACUUUUCGAGUCCUUCUACGUGCUGGACGGCCUGCUGCUGGAGGCGGGAAACCUCAGCAUGAUGGACAUUGUGACGGACGGCUUUGGCUUUAUGCUGUGCUUUGGUGACCUUGCAUGGGUGCCGUUUACGUACACGCUGCAGACAAAGUAUCUCGUCCACCACCCCGCGCACCUCUCGCUCGUGCAUCUGUGCCUCUGCGUUUCCCUUUCUGCUGCCGGCUACCUUAUCUUUCGAAAUGCGAACACAGAAAAGGACCGCUUCCGCAAAAAUCCGCAGGACCCGCGCGUGCAGCACCUGCGCAUCAUGAAGACCUCCAAGGGCAAGUCUCUCAUCAUCUCCGGCUACUGGGGCGUGUGCCGGCACCCAAACUACGUUGGUGACUGGCUGAUGGCGCUCGGCUGGGCGGCGUUCAGCGGCACGGCAGAGUGGUUGCCGUACUUUCAUCCUCUUUACUUUGGCCUCCUCCUCAUGCACCGUCAGCUGCGUGAUGAGCAGCAGAUGCGAGAGAAGUACGGCAAUGAGGACUGGAACGCGUUCUGUCGCGUCGUCAAGUAUCGGCUGUUCCCGUACAUAUACUAGGUGAGUAGACGAGAGAAACCAGAGCAAGGCGCGAGCGCCUGCGUGCGUGUGUGUGGUGCGGUGAUCGGCCCCAGCGAAAAAUGCAGCGGAAUAAAACACGAAGAGAACGUAUGCGGAUCCGCCGCGUCCGCAGAAAACGGAAAAUAAGAGCGAAGGGCAAGGAGCGCCGUUUUGCACCAAUGCCGUGCGCGCACUGCGUGCUGCCUCUCCCACGCCUCGUCCGCUUGACUCGCUGCCAUGAUUGUAUCGAUGAGCUCGUUUUCUUCUCAUGUACACUUGUGUUGGGCAGAAAAGGAGGCAGCACGCUGAGGGGGUGCAUGUGCAUGUGCAUGUGUGUGUGUGGGGGGGGGAUGUGCGGCCCUCCUCCCCCCUCCUCCUCGGCUGAGCGGACAAGGCAAGCGGAACCGACGAGAGAAGGAAUAUAUGUACACGCAAUCGGCAGCGGGGUGUCUCCCUCCUCGCGUGCAUGCGGCUGAGUCUUGGAGGCGCGUAAUGGUCUUCGGAUGGUGUCUUACGUAGCGGGUGACGCGGACACCACCGCUGCCAUC
rnacentral:misc_RNA from 1 species